AUGGUACAUGGAGCAGCAGCAUCAGGCGGCGCCGCCUCCGCCGCCGCGCGGGCAAGCAGAGGCGCGCCGGGGACGUGGAGGCGGGUGCGGAGGGCGGCGCGGGAGGCGGCUGCGCACGCGCUGCUGCUCUGCUUCACCACCCUCCUCGCCUUCAAGCUCGACGGCGUUCUCCUCUCCCGCUCCUGGUGGGUGCUUUUCAUUCCUCUGUGGUUAUUCCAUGCUGCCGUUGUUCGGUAUAGAUUCUCAUUGCCUGCUCCUUCGUUGCUUCAAAAUUACCAGCGGAUUCCAUGCCAUUCCAUUGUUGCCACACCCUUGCUAGUUGCUUUUGAACUUCUUCUCUGUAUCUACCUUGAAGGCCAGGGUGAACCUUUUCUAGAUUUAAAGCUUGUUUUCCUUCCACUCCUGGCCUUGGAAAUUAUUAUGUUAGUUGACAAUUUCAGGAUGUUUGGUGCUCUAAUGCCUGGACAUGGGGAAACAAUCACUGAUGAAGAGAUAUGGGAUAGGCUUCCUCACUUCUGGGUUGCAAUUUCCAUGGUGUUUCUACUAGCAGCUACUUCACUCAUGCUUCUCAAGCUAUGCGGUGAUGCAGUUACUCUGGGGUGGUGGGAUUUAUUCAUUAACUUUGGGAUUUCCCAGUGCUUUGCUUUUCUUGUCUGCAUAAGGUGGUCCAAUCCAAUGGAUAUUGGUGGCCCUGUACUGAUAAUUCCUAUCGUAAUUUCUCAAGUUCUCCUAUGUAUGCGCUUAGAGGGUACUCCAUCUUAUGCACGGUUUAUUCCGGUUCGAGCUAUUUUCUCACCUAUAUUUUUGCUCCAAGUGGUUGCUGUACUGUUUGCCGUUUGGAGAUUCUUUGAAAGGCUUGUUAUUAAAUUGCAAGAUGGAGUUGUUAGUGAAGGAUAUAUUUCUGUCUCAUCAAAGAUUGAUGAGUUGUUUAUGAUGGUACAAUAUGGUUCAAGGCUCAUUACGUGGUCUAUUGACGAAGAUAGCAAAGAGGAACAAGCACAUUUAUGCUAUACAAAUAACAUUGGGUAUAGUACAUUUUGCAGUUAUCCCCCCGAGAUGGUAAAAGAGAUGCCGAAAAAAGUUCUUGUCAAAGAGAUACAGAGACUUCAGUUAGCAUUGGGAGAGCAAAGCAAAAUGGCAAUGCUUAGCCAACAGCAGUGUGAGAGGCUGAAGAAUGAACGAAUCUUAUGUCGAAUUUGCUUUGAGAGGUACAUCUGCAUUGUUCUGCUUCCAUGCCGCCAUCAUGUUCUAUGCGAACCUUGCUCUGACAAGUGCCAAUCAUGCCCGAUUUGUCGAGUGCCUAUUGAGACCAAGUUAUCUGUUAAUGAUGCAGUGAAUUCAGACGAUCCAUUAAGUGACAUUGUCUAG
rnacentral:rRNA from 1 species